GAGUUGAUAUCUCCGUGGUAGAGUGCAUGCUUUGUAUGUAUGAUGUCAUGGGUUCAAUACUCAGCUUCCCCUCA
rnacentral:tRNA from 1 species